AUUGAACGCUGGCGGCAUGCCUUACACAUGCAAGUCGAACGGUAACAGGUCUUCGGAUGCUGACGAGUGGCGAACGGGUGAGUAAUACAUCGGAACGUGCCCAGUCGUGGGGGAUAACGUAGCGAAAGUUACGCUAAUACCGCAUACGAUCUACGGAUGAAAGCGGGGGACUCGCAAGAGCCUCGCGCGAUUGGAGCGGCCGAUAUCAGAUUAGGUAGUUGGUGGGGUAAAGGCUCACCAAGCCAACGAUCUGUAGCUGGUCUGAGAGGACGACCAGCCACACUGGAACUGAGACACGGUCCAGACUCCUACGGGAGGCAGCAGUGGGGAAUUUUCCGCAAUGGGCGAAAGCCUGACGGAGCAAUACCGCGUGAGGGAAGACUGCCUAUGGGUUGUAAACCUCUUUUUCUAGGGUAGGAAGUAAAUGACGUGUACCUGAAGAAUAAGCAUCGGCUAACUCCGUG
rnacentral:rRNA from 1 species